CAGCUCUUGACAUGGGACGUUUGACCUCGAGAGAUCGGGGUCUUCAGUUCGGCUGGCGUCCACACAGGUGCUGCAUGGCUGUCGUCAGCUCGUGUCGUGAGAUGUUGGGUUAAGUCCCGCAACGAGCGCAACCCUCACCUUCAGUUGCCAUCAGGUUAUGCUGGGCACUCUGAAGGAACUGCCGGUGACAAGCCGGAGGAAGGCGGGGAUGACGUCAAGUCCUCAUGGCCCUUAUGGGCUGGGCUACACACGUGCUACAAUGGCGGUGACAGAGGGAAGCAGAGGGGCAACCCCGAGCCAAUCUCUAAAAGCCGUCUCAGUUCGGAUUGUUCUCUGCAACUCGAGAGCAUGAAGCUGGAAUCGCUAGUAAUCGCGGAUCAGCACGCCGCGGUGAAUA
rnacentral:rRNA from 1 species